rnacentral:rRNA from 1 species
UCGCUACUACCGAUUGAACAUUUUAGUGAGGUAUCUGGACUGGUGCUUAGGAGCUGGCAACAGCCCCUUUGCAUUGGGAAAUUUCCCAAACUUGGAUGUUUAGAGGAAGUAA